rnacentral:lncRNA from 1 species
UUCUUUCCUUCUCUGCCCUCAAAGAAACCUAAUCGACACCCUCUGAUCAAACCCCCAUCCAUCUCAGACAUUCAAUUAGGAAUUCCAAACAUCUUCCUCUUUAUUUUCCUCUACAGAUUCUUACUUAUUUUGAUAUCCGUCGAUUAAAGGUACUUAUUGUCACCCACUUUACAUCUUUAUCUAGAGUAAACUGGACAUUCCAUCGCAGACCUGUUGCCCCGGCCGGAAAAUCCCCCCGCUGAUUCGCUCUGCUUCUUGCUCCUCUCUGUCAAACAAGAUUCACGCCUUUAUUUGGAAAAUUGAAUUUAGGUUUUUGCUGAUUUUUGUUUAAUUCUGCAUCGGAAAUCAUGAUCACACACUCGAAUUGAAGAGCGUGCACGUGAGAAUCUAUACGAGAAGGUAUGUGUUUGUGUUCAAUAAUCAGUAUCAUGUGUCAUAUGAUUGAUUUCUUGAAUACCCAUUUGGAUAUGAGCUUGUUUGUGUUUUUGUAA